GGAUGUUCCCUGUGUAUCAGACACAUGACCUUGCUGUAGUCCAGCAGCUGGGCACGGUGCUGUUACCUCCUUGGUGUACCAGCUGGGCAUGCUGGGCAUGGUGUCGUUACCUCCUUGGUGUACCAGCUGGGCACGGUGCCGUUACCUCCUUGGUGUAGUCCAGCAGCUGGGCAUAGUGGGCAUGGUGCCGUUACCUCCUUGGUGUACCAGCUGGGCACGCUGGGCACGGUGCUGUUACCUCCUUGGUGUACCAGCUGGGCAUGGUGCUGUUACCUGCUUGGUGUACCAGCUGGGCGUGGUGCUGUUACCUGCUUGGUGUACCAGCUGAGCAACGGGAACACUUUUGCUUUGGUCAAAUGUAUUAAUAGUCAUAAUUCCAAGUCCUCCUGUAUACAAUUUUAUGUACACAUUUAGUUUUAUUGCAAUACUACAGGCAUUGUUGUAAGCAUUUUCUCGUAUAAACAGAUGAUUAACUGAACAGAAAAGAAAGAUAUUAAUGUAAUAGUCAUAAUUCUAAGUCCUCCUGUAUACCGUUUUAUGUACACAUUUAGUUUAAUUGCAGUACUACUGGCAUUGUUGUAAGCAUUUUAAUACUACAGGCAUUCUUGUAAGCAUUUUAAUACUACAGGCAUUGUAAGCAUUGUAAUACUACAGGCAUAGUUGUAAGCAUUUUCUUGUAUAAACAGAUGAUUAACCGAGCAGAAAAGAUAGAUAUUAAUUAAAAUACAUUUUUAUCCAAGUAGAAAUUCAAAUGUGCAUCAAUAAGAAGGAUAGGAUAUGAAGGAUCGAUUCCAAACUUCAGCAGAGCCAUUAGGGAACUUCAGAGUCGGUGCACAGGUUCACAGCGGCGGAGAGGAUACACGGCUCUCAUAUUGACCACGGCACUCAGCAGUCAAUGCUUCUUACUGUCAAUGCGGCCCCAUUGACAAUCGCUUCCCGGCUCGAGCAGGACAGAAAAACGCUCAUUUAAAAUGUAUUGAAACCGCUGAGAGCCUUUCAGAAUAAGAUGAAGAAGAAGAGAGAGAGAAAAAAAAGCACAAAUAGGCUUUAUGGAUUACACAAUCAUAUUGUAAAACAUUUAUAUUGCAACAAAAAGCAUAUUUCAAUUCCAGAGGA
ensembl:lncRNA